rnacentral:rRNA from 1 species
UACGUAGGGUGCAAGCGUUGUCCGGAAUUAUUGGGCGUAAAGAGCUCGUAGGCGGUUUGUCGCGUCGAAUGUGAAAACCCGGGGCUCAACCCCGGGCCUGCAUUCGAUACGGGCAGACUAGAGUUCGGUAGGGGAGUCUGGAAUUCCUGGUGUAGCGGUGAAAUGCGCAGAUAUCAAGGAGGAACACCGGUGGCGAAGGCGGGUCUCUGGGCAAACAACUGACGCUGAGGAGCGAAAGCGUGGGGAGCGAACAGGAUUAGA